GAUGAACGCUGGCGGCGUGCCUAAUACAUGCAAGUCGAGCGAAUGGAUUAAGAGCUUGCUCUUAUGAAGUUAGCGGCGGACGGGUGAGUAACACGUGGGUAACCUGCCCAUAAGACUGGGAUAACUCCGGGAAACCGGGGCUAAUACCGGAUAAUAUUUUGAACUGCAUGGUUCAAAAUUGAAAGGCGGCUUCGGCUGUCACUUAUGGAUGGACCCGCGUCGCAUUAGCUUGUUGGUGAGGUAACGGCUCACCAAGGCAACGAUGCGUAGCCGAACUGAGAGGGUGAUCGGCCACACUGGAAAUGAGACACGGCCCAGACUCCUACGGGAGGCAGCAGUAGGGAAUCUUCCGCAAUGGACGAAAGUCUGACGGAGCAACGCCGCGUGAGUGGUGAAGGCUUUCGGGUCGUAAAACUCUGUUGUUAGGGAAGAACAAGUGCUAGUUGAAUAAGCUGGCACCUUGACGGUACCUAACCAGAAAGCCACGGCUAACUACGUGCCAGCUGCCGCGGUAA
rnacentral:rRNA from 1 species